rnacentral:lncRNA from 1 species
CAAAACAACAAGUUGGGUUGUGAGCUUGUAAAACAACCGACUGUAAUCUGUAGGACUAUAGUGAAAUUCCCAAGAGGUCUUGGGGAGUGGAUGUAGGUGCUGGGGUGCACCGAACCACUAUAUGUUUGUUGUGUUUGUAAUGCUUCUUGUCAUUGUCUAACUUACUCACUUACUUACUUAGAUAAAUUGCUUGCUUAACUCUUAUCCGCGCAUCCUUUAGUUGCAAGCAUAAUCAAUCAAGUCACAAUCUAUACAUCAAACUGUUGCUAAGUUUAAAUUUCACUGUGCAUCUAUACAACUUAGCAUAAUUAACUCUAAAAGAUUAGAAGUAGUUGAAAAGUUUUUAAAAGACCCAAUUCACCCCCCCUCUUGGGUUGUAUCUACUGGGCAACAAGUGGUAUCAGAGCAGGUGCUCAAAUAUUAUUUGUAGUCUUAACCGACUAGAGCCAAAGAUCAUGACAACCCCACAUAACGUAUU